AGGGAUUUCGCAUCGGGGGACCCUCGACCCCGCCACGCCGCGUGGUGUGAAGGCUUCGGGUGUAACCUCUUUUUGGCCGGACGAAAACGACUUGACCUCUAUGUAAGCUCCGGCAGUUCCCUUGCCACCCCGCCCGGCACUAUGCG
rnacentral:rRNA from 1 species